rnacentral:rRNA from 1 species
GACGAACGCUGGCGGCGUUCUUAACACAUGCAAGUCCAACGGAAAGGCCCUGCUUUUGUGGGGUGCUCGAGUGGCGAACGGGUGAGUAACACGUGAGUAACCUGCCCUUGACUUUGGGAUAACUUCAGGAAACUGGGGCUAAUACCGGAUAGGAGCUCCUGCUGCAUGGUGGGGGUUGGAAAGUUUCGGCGGUUGGGGAUGGACUCGCGGCUUAUCAGCUUGUUGGUGGGGUAGUGGCUUACCAAGGCUUUGACGGGUAGCCGGCCUGAGAGGGUGACCGGCCACAUUGGGACUGAGAUACGGCCCAGACUCCUACGGGAGGCAGCAGUGGGGAAUAUUGCACAAUGGGCGGAAGCCUGAUGCAGCAACGCCGCGUGCGGGAUGACGGCCUUCGGGUUGUAAACCGCUUUCGCCUGUGACGAAGCGUGAGUGACGGUAAUGGGUAAAGAAGCACCGGCUAACUACGUG